UGCCCCCUUCUCACUUUGCCAACUGGACUUAUGUCUUAAAUGGCCAUUCAAGUGAGGCAAAGGAAGUGUCCUUUUCAAACUCAAGCCAAGCAAACUAGGUUUUUGUCUUGUAUCCUGUCAGAGGAAGCAACU